rnacentral:ncRNA from 1 species
UAGAGGUUCUUUUAUAGAUUAAUUGGGAAGAGAGGUCUAUUCCUCCACGGUCCCGCCACUGUGUUGCUGAUGAAAGAUAUAUACGCCACUGACUAUGUUGGGAAGGCUAUCUAGUAAGUUGAAGCUAAGUCAGGAGACCAGCCUCUGUACAU